rnacentral:rRNA from 1 species
ACUCAAAUGAAUUGACGGGGGCCCGCACAAGCGGUGGAGCAUGUGGUUCAAUUCGACGCAACGCGAAGAACCUUACCUGGGCUCGAACGGCUUAAGAUCAUCCUUGGAAACAGGGACUUCUCGCAAGAGACUUGAGUCGAGGUGCUGCAUGGCUGUCGUCAGCUCGUGUCGUGAGAUGUUGGGUUAAGUCCCGCAACGAGCGCAACCCUCGUCCUGUGUUGCCAUCAUUUAGUUGGGAACUCGCAGGAGACCGCCAGCGAUAAGCUGGAGGAAGGUGGGGAUGACGUCAAGUCCUCAUGGCCUUUAUGUCCAGGGCUACACACGUGCUACAAUGGCCGGUACAAAGCGUAGCCAACCCGCAAGGGGGAGCCAAUCGCAAAAAACCGGUCUCAGUUCGGAUUGCAGGCUGCAACUCGCCUGCAUGAAGCUGGAAUCGCUAGUAAUGCCGUAUCAGAACGAUGGCGUGAAUACGUUCCCGGGCCUUGUACACACCGCCCGU